rnacentral:rRNA from 1 species
GACGAAGGUGGCUAGCGUUGUUCGGUAUCACUGGGCUUAAAGGGUGUGUAGGCGGAAAAGUAUGCGUCUUGUGAAAUCCCCCGGCUUAACCGGGGAAUUGCUUGACGAACCACUUUUCUUGAGGCAAGUAGGGGUGCAUGGAACUCUUGGUGGAGCGGUGAAAUGCGUAGAUAUCAAGAGGAACGCCGGCGGUGAAGACGUCGCGCUAGGCCUGUCCUGACGCUGAGGUGCGAAAGCCAGGGGAGCAAACGGG